rnacentral:rRNA from 1 species
AUACGUAGGGGGCGAGCGUUGUCCGGAAUGAUUGGGCGUAAAGGGCGCGUAGGCGGCCCGGUAAGUCUGGAGUGAAAGUCCUGUUUUUAAGAUGGGAAUUGCUUUGGAUACUGUCGGGCUUGAGUGCAGGAGAGGUAAGUGGAAUUCCCAGUGUAGCGGUGAAAUGCGUAGAGAUUGGGAGGAACACCAGUGGCGAAGGCGGCUUAUUGGACUGUAACUGACGCUGAGGCGCGAAAGUGUGGGGAGCAAACAGGAUUAGAUACCCUGGUAGUCCACGCUGUAAACGAUGAAUGCUAGGUGUAGGGGGUAUCGACCCCUUCUGUGCCGCAGUCAACACAAUAAGCAUUCCGCCUGGGGAGUACGGCCGCAAGGUUGAAACUCAAAUGAAUUGACGGGG